rnacentral:lncRNA from 13 species
AUGAGGCUGGUAAUGCUUCCCGAAGCGCUCCUGUGUCAAUGCACUGUGGAAUGCACAGAAGGGAUUUUUAUUGCACUUUCAGUUGGGCCAUUUUUACUUGGAGCAACGCCACUUGUUUGCUUCUCUUCAAAACAUUGCAUACUGCAAUACCAUAUAUGUGAGUUUCUACAUUUGAAACCCUUGGCUUGUGAUGAGUUUUGUAACACAUUGUAUUUGAUUCACAUGGAUUAUCAACACUUCAUUAAAAAUCUAAAGUAUAUCAGUAUAGGAAGUGAGCUAUUUUUGUAUUUAAAGGUGUGUGUGUGUGUGUGUGUGUGUGUUGACAGGAUCAAGUGGCCAACACAUGGGUGCAGCUUGAACGGCCUGAUAAAGAUCAAGACCAUCCUGUCCACUGAUACCCAGCUCUACCUCGGUUUGGCCACCACUCUCCUGGCUAUCCUACCUAUGUCAAUCAAACUAUUGGUGAACCCUACUCUAUGGCAGUUCAAACUUCCCUUGUAUGCUGCCAUUGUUACUGAAGGAUGGUCUGUUGGUGCCGUACGUGGUCACCUCCCUGGCCUUCCUGUUCGUCAGCGUAUACCUGCUUUUCCACCCUUGGAGCAUUGCUCAGAAGACGAGCUGCGUCUGGGGCCCUACCACCGCCCCAUCCGUAUGCCCAGCAUGGACCUCGGAAGGGUCACCAAGUGGAAAUUCUACAUCUCCAUCGUGGCCAUGGCUGGUUUGUGCUUUAUGAGCAUGGCGCUGGCCCCUCUGGCCAGGCUGCCUGAUUUGUUUCCCCUCCUGGUGUCAGUGUUCUUUUCCACCACUUCCUGGGCCUCCUCUUCUACUUCAACCUUGUCCAGAUUGCCGAGCCGCCUCCACCUGGGAGUAAGAAUCAGAGUAGUCGCUACCCGGUAG